AAGCCACUCCAGGAAAGGCUGAAGCCUCAAGCUUGCCCGUCUGGGCAGAAGGAUUUCCCCCCUGCUCUCUGUCACUCUGAUAAUAACUGGCUUCUGGGAUAAAAGCAGCACAAGAAUAAGAAACAAAGCCUGUGGCUAUACUGGGCACAAUCUGAGAAGAGCACAUGGAAUAGUGGAAUAUUUUUUGUUGUUAUUCAUGUGCUUUCUGAACUUCUACUCUGACAAAAAUAAACAUCUGUAACUGAAUACCUACAACAUUCAGUAAGUCUCAGUUUCUCAAUAAAUAAGCUUCACUUUCAA